rnacentral:rRNA from 1 species
GCCCUAGUAACGGCGAGUGAAGCGGCAACAGCUCAAAUUUGAAAUCUGGCUCUCGGGCCCGAGUUGUAAUUUGUAGAGGAUGAUUUUGGCGCGGUGCCUUCCGAGUUCCCUGGAACGGGACGCCUUAGAGGGUGAGAGCCCCGUACGGUUGGACACUAAGCCUCUGUAAAUCUCCUUCGACGAGUCGAGUAGUUUGGGAAUGCUGCUCUAAAUGGGAGGUAAAUUUCUUCUAAAGCUAAAUACCGGCCAGAGACCGAUAGCGCACAAGUAGAGUGAUCGAAAGAUGAAAAGCACUUUGAAAAGAGGGUUAAAUAGCACGUGAAAUUGUUGAAAGGGAAGCAUUUACUACCAGACCUUUGCCCUGCGGAUCAUGUGGUGUUCUCACCGCUGCACUUCGCUUGGUUUAGGCCAGCAUCGGUUUUUGUAGGGGGAUAAAAGCCUUAGGAACGUAGCUCCCUCGGGAGUGUUAUAGCCUUUUGCAUAAUACCCUUACGGGGACCGAGGACCGCGCUUCGGCAAGGAUGCUGGCAUAAUGGUAGUCAAUGACCCGUCUUGAAACACGGACCAAGGAGUCGAACAUUUGUGCGAGUGUUUGGGUGUUAAACCCUCACGCGUAAUGAAAGUGAACGUAGGUGAGAGCCCUUACGGGUGCAUCAUCGACCGAUCUUGAUGUCUUCGGAUGGAUUUGAGUAAGAGCAUAACUGUUCGGACCCGAAAGAUGGUGAACUAUGCGUGGAUAGGGUGAAGCCAGAGGAAACUCUGGUGGAGGCUCGCAGCGGUUCUGACGUGCAAAUCGAUCGUCAAAUCUGCGCAUGGGGGCGAAAGACUUAUCGA